rnacentral:rRNA from 1 species
UGAAUACGAGACGCUACGGCGUCGAAGCAGUCUAUGUCAUACUUCCAAGAAAAGCUUGCACUGUCAUAAACAAAUGAUGCCUGUACCAUAACCGACACAGGUGGGUAGGUAGAGUAUACUAAGGGGCGCGAGAUAACUCUCUCUAAGGAACUCGGCAAAAUGACUCCGUAACUUCGGGAGAAGGAGUGCCUUAUUUAUAAGGUUGCAAUAACAAGAUCCAAGCAACUGUUUAUCAAAAACACAGGUCUCCGCUAAGUCGUAAGACGAUGUAUGGGGGCUGACGCCUGCCCAGUGCCAGAAGGUUAAAGAAGUUGGUUAGCAUUAGCGAAGCUGAUAACUGAAGCCCUGGUGAACGGCGGCCGUAACUAUAACGGUCCUAAGGUAGCGAAAUUCCUUGUCGGGUAAGUUCCGACCCGCACGAAAGGCGUAAUGAUUUGGAUACUGUCUCGGAGAGGGGCUCGGUGAAAUAGACUUGUCUGUGAAGAUGCGGACUACCUGCACCUGGACAGAAAGACCCUAUGAAGCUUUACUGUAACCUGAAAUUGAAAUUGGACUUUAUUUGCGCAGUAUAGGUGGGAGGCGUUGAGAAUAUUCUUGCGGGAAUAUUGGAGCCAUCAGUGAGAUACCACUCUUGUAAUGUUAGAUUUCUAACUUUGAAUCAUUAUCUGGUCAAAGAACAGUUUCAGGCGGGCAGUUUGACUGGGGCGGUCGCCUCCUAAAUGGUAACGGAGGCGCACAAAGGUUUCCUCUGAACGGGUAGAAAUCGUAUCUAGAGUGUAAAGGCAUAAGGAAGCUUGACUGUGAGACCUACAAGUCGAGCAGGGACGGAAGUCGGUCUUAGUGAUCUGACGGUGCUGAGUGGAAAGGCCGUCACUCAACGGAUAAAAGUUACUCUAAGGAUAACAGGCUGAUCUCCCCCAAGAGUUCACAUCGACGGGGAGGUUUGGCACCUCGAUGUCGGCUCAUCGCAUCCUGGGGCGGUAGUACGUCCCAAGGGUUGGGCUGUUCGCCCAUGAAAGCGGUACGCGAGCUGGGUUCAGAACGUCGUGAGACAGUUCGGUCCAUAUCCGGUGUAGGCGUUAGAAUAUUGAGAGGAGCCUUCUUUAGUACGAGAGGACCGAGAAGGACAUACCUCUGGUGUACCAGUUAUCGUGCCAACGGUAAACGCUGGGUAGCUAUGUAUGGAGAGGAUAACCGCUGAAAGCAUCUAAGUGGGAAGCCCACCUCAAGAUAAGUAUUCGC